rnacentral:lncRNA from 1 species
CAACAAAUAAAGUAACCAACAACAUCACCUUCUAAACAAAAGUUCACUUUCAAAGUCACCAAAAGUUAAGCAUUUUCAACAAAUAAAGUCACCAACAACAUCACCUCCUAAACACUAGUCUACUAUUAAAGUCACCAAAACUUAAGCUUUUUCUACUAACAAAGGCACCAACGACAUCACCUUCUAAACAAAAGUUCACUUACAACAUCACCUUCUAAACAAAAGUUCACUUUUAAAGUCACCAAAAGUUAAGCAUUUUCAACGAAUAAAGUAACCAACAACAUCACCUCCUAAACA